CGCGGGGUGGAGCAGUCUGGUAGCUCGGUCGGGCUCAUAACCCGAAGGUCGCAGGUUCAAAUCCUGUCCCCGCAACCA
rnacentral:tRNA from 1 species